UUUUCCCCUUGAGGCCUUGCAACCCCAGCAUCAGUGUUGCAGCUGUGUCAUAAGGUGGCAGAGAGAGCGGUGGAGGUCUGCACUUAGACUCUAACACA